rnacentral:rRNA from 1 species
ACGAACGCUGGCGGCGUGGAUAAGACAUGCAAGUCGAACGAGAGAAUUGCUAGCUUGCUAAUAAUUCUCUAGUGGCGCACGGGUGAGUAACACGUGAGUAACCUGCCCCCGAGAGCGGGAUAGCCCUGGGAAACUGGGAUUAAUACCGCAUAGUAUCGAAAGAUUAAAGCAGCAAUGCGCUUGGGGAUGGGCUCGCGGCCUAUUAGUUAGUUGGUGAGGUAACGGCUCACCAAGGCGAUGACGGGUAGCCGGUCUGAGAGGAUGUCCGGCCACACUGGAACUGAGACACGGUCCAGACACCUACGGGUGGCAGCAGUCGAGAAUCAUUCACAAUGGGGGAAACCCUGAUGGUGCGACGCCGCGUGGGGGAAUGAAGGUCUUCGGAUUGUAAACCCCUGUCAUGUGGGAGCAAAUUAAAAAGAUAGUACCACAAGAGGAAGAGACGGCUAACUCUGUGCCAGCAGCCGCGGUAAUACAGAGGUCUCAAGCGUUGUUCGGAAUCACUGGGCGUAAAGCGUGCGUAGGCUGUUUCGUAAGUCGUGUGUGAAAGGCGCGGGCUCAACCCGCGGACGGCACAUGAUACUGCGAGACUAGAGUAAUGGAUGGGGGAACCGGAAUUCUCGGUGUAGCAGUGAAAUGCGUAGAUAUCGAGAGGAACACUCGUGGCGAAGGCGGGUUCCUGGACAUUAACUGACGCUGAGGCACGAAGGCCAGGGGAGCGAAAGGGAUUAGAUACCCCUGUAGUCCUGGCAGUAAACGGUGCACGCUUGGUGUGCGGGGAAUCGACCCCCUGCGUGCCGGAGCUAACGCGUUAAGCGUGCCGCCUGGGGAGUACGGUCGCAAGAUUAAAACUCAAAGAAAUUGACGGGGACCCGCACAAGCGGUGGAGUAUGUGGCUUAAUUCGAUGCAACGCGAAGAACCUUACCUGGGCUUGACAUGUAAUGAACAACAUGUGAAAGCAUGCGACUCUUCGGAGGCGUUACACAGGUGCUGCAUGGCCGUCGUCAGCUCGUGUCGUGAGAUGUUUGGUUAAGUCCAGCAACGAGCGCAACCCCUGUUGCCAGUUACCAGCACGUGAAGGUGGGGACUCUGGCGAGACUGCCCAGAUCAACUGGGAGGAAGGUGGGGACGACGUCAGGUCAGUAUGGCCCUUAUGCCCAGGGCUGCACACGUACUACAAUGCCCAGUACAGAGGGGGCCGAAGCCGCGAGGCGGAGGAAAUCCUAAAAACUGGGCCCAGUUCGGACUGUAGGCUGCAACCCGCCUACACGAAGCCGGAAUCGCUAGUAAUGGCGCAUCAGCUACGGCGCCGUGAAUACGUUCCCGGGUCUUGUACACACCGCCCGUCACAUCAUGGAAGCCGGUCGCACCCGAAGUAUCUGAAGCCAACCGCAAGGAGGCAGGGUCCUAAGGUGAGACUGGUAACUGGGAUG